rnacentral:rRNA from 1 species
GUGGAGGAUGAAGGCGUAAGGUUGUAAACUCCUGUUAGAGGAGAAGAACAGUACCGGAUUGGAUCGGUAUUUGACUGUACCCUCAGAGAAAGCCCCGGCUAACUACGUGCCAGCAGCCGCGGUAAUACGUAGGGGGCAAGCGUUGUCCGGAUUUACUGGGUGUAAAGGGCGCGCAGGCGGAAUGGCAAGUCAGAGGUGAAAUCCUACAGCAUAACUGUAGAACUGCCUUUGAUACUGCUAUUCUUGAGUUCGGGAGAGAGAGACGGAAUUCCAGGUGUAGUGGUGAAAUACGUAGAUACCUGGAAGAACACCAGUUGCGAAGGCGGUCUCUUGGUCCGAUACUGACGCUGAGGCGCGAAAGCGUGGGGAGCAAACAGGAUUAGAUCCCUGGUAGUCCACGCUGUAAACGAUGAAUACUAGGUGUUGGGUUUU